AUUGAACGCUGGCGGUAUGCUUAACACAUGCAAGUCGAACGGAAACGAUACUAGCUUGCUAGUAGGCGUCGAGUGGCGGACGGGUGAGUAACGCGUAGGAAUCUGCCUGAUAGUGGGGGAUAGCCCGGAGAAAUUCGGAUUAAUACCGCAUAAUCUAUUCGUAGUAAAGUGGGGGACUUUCGAGCCUCACGCUAUCAGAUGAGCCUGCGUAAGAUUAGCUUGUUGGUAGGGUAAAAGCCUACCAAGGCGACGAUCUUUAGCUGGUCUGAGAGGAUGAUCAGCCACAUCGGGACUGAGACACGGCCCGAACUCCUACGGGAGGCAGCAGUGGGGAAUAUUGGACAAUGGGGGCAACCCUGAUCCAGCAAUACCGCGUGUGUGAAGAAGGCCUGAGGGUUGUAAAGCACUUUCAAUUGUGAAGAAAAGUUAACGGUUAAUAACCGUUAGCCUUGACGUUAACUUUAGAAGAAGCACCGGCUAACUCCGUG
rnacentral:rRNA from 1 species